rnacentral:lncRNA from 1 species
UGGGAUGAGCUGAUCUUCACUUGCAAACCUGCUCUGGAGCCUGGAGGGAGCCCCAGGCAGGAUCCAAGGGAUGGUUGUGUCCCUGCCCAGCAGACUGAGGGAUGGCAGGCAGCGUUCCUGCAGCCUGGCUGCUCUGCUCUGCCCCCGGGCUGUGCCCUCAGCCAGGGACGAACCAGAGCCGCUGUUCUGCUUCCCAGAGCCUGCCUGCCACCGCUGCCUCGGCACGCCACUCUCUGCGGAUGGGGAGAGGAGAGGAGAGAGCACGAGCAGGAUGGCGAGCACCGAGCCGUUCUGUGGGCUCGCUGGAGAUUUGCUGUCCUGCAGCUCCUCGCAGACACGUUUGCCCACACUCCGCACUCCUUCUUCCCACCCUGCCCGCGCUCAGCGCGCAUCCGUGCCCGUGCCCAUCCCUGUGCCUAUCCCUGGAACUGUCCAGAGCCGGGCUGGAUGGGGGAUUGAGCAGCCUGCAAGGUGUCCCUGCCCGUGCCACGGGGGUCGGAACUGGGUAAUCUUCAAUGUCCCUUCCAAGCCGAGCCAUCCCGCGCUUGUCGGGCUCGCAGCCCGCACGGCCGGGCUGUGGAGCUGCCACACGUGCAGCGGGAUGUGCAAACGGGCUCGGCACGUGCCGGAUCCCCGCGUGUCACCGCAGGCUCUGCCGCCGCAGCGCCGGCCUCCCCCCAAACCCGGCAGGGGCCGGGGCCGGGAGC